CUGCAUUACAGAACCUCGCACCCUAACAGUCAGCAAAGCUAGACUUGCAAAGGGCACCAUGAUGGUCUGGAUCUCAAGAACAAUGACUCUGAUUUGGCAUUCUUGGAGUGAUGGUAGCGCCCACCAUGGGUCCUAUGCACAAGUGCUCAUCCACCUUAACAGGAAACGGAAGAACAUCUCUCCCAGAGUACUUUAUCUUGGUUAAUGUUACAACAGGAAGCACUUAUUCUGAGACAAGCUCCCCCACUAACGUUGACAGCAACAUUAUUUCAAGGACCUAUUGCCAAGAAGGAUUCCUAGGAAACUUGUUGUCCCUGCAAAUCCACAGAGGGGGAAAAGAAAUUCUGGCUUCCUUUCUCCAUUCCACUGUGGGGAAAAAAAAAAUAAGAAGAAUAAAAUCUGUCAUUGACCUUUCCUUGUCUUUCAUGUUACUUUAUUUCUCAAUACCAUUUCUGGGC